ensembl:lncRNA
CUGAGGACGAGAGCCAGACUCAGAGGAGAGAAGAUGGUCUCCUCCCUUUCACCAAGCCGUGAACAUCUCCUUGUCUCGUGCAGGUACAGCAGAUCCCGCUGGAUUUGGAGCCACGCGGAUUCGGUUGCGGGAGAGCCCUGCUCAGAGGAUCAGGUGCAGGGAGCUGUUUCUGAUUCCUGUCCCUUGCUGCCACGUGACUCUGGACAAGCCUCGGCGGAGACUUGAAGACUUCUGAGCAGGGAACUGGGCUCCGUCAUGUUGGCCAAGGGUGUGGCCAAGGCCUGACUGAGGGAGGCAGUGACCUCAGCUGCCAAGCUCUGUCACACCUACAGUGAGGGCCAUCUCUGCCUGGCUCCCAGAACCAGCAGGUGCUGCGUCUCUACUCACCAGCUGAGUGCUCUGUUCCCGGAGUCCUCCCACGCUGUCUGGGUCCUCCCACACUGUCUGCCCACGCUGUCGCUUUUGCCUGGCGUGGCCGCUUCUACCUCUCAUUACCCAUCAAAAUCCUUUCCAUGCUUCAAGGCCGCCUCUGUGACGACAGAACUGGGUGCUGGAAACGCAGGGCCAGAGAUGCUGCCCGCCCUCCAGGUGUGCAGUGGCUGAGGGGCUCUCCUCACGGAUGUCACCCUCAGUGCCCGGUCUUGUGUUGCCUUUGCCCAUUCAGAACCUGCUGUCUGUAAGAGGAGGGCCUAAAACUCUGGGAGUCAAGAGAGGGCUUACUGCAGUGGUGACCUACAAGUCAAGAGAGCAGAUGCUCGCCAGGUCUCUGUGCAGCUCAAGAGCAGUUACCGUUCCUGAGAGCCGUGAGGUACUGAACCAGCCACAGUGCCACAGGUUUCCAUCCCAUCGGCCACGGCAUGGACAGUGCCCGCUGCCUGGCACCAGAGCCACACCAUACCUAGGGUGGAAUGGGAGCUGUAGCUGCUGGCCUACACCACAGCCACAGCAAUGUGGGAUCUGAGCUGUGUCUGCGACCUACACCACAGCUCACAGCACCGUUGGAUCCUUAACCUACUGAGCGAGGCCAGGGAUCGAACCUACAUCCUCAUGGAUACCAGUUGGGUUCGUAACCUGCUGAGCCAUAGUAGGAACUCUAAAGCUUUUGAAAAAUUAUGUAACCUGCCUGUAAUUUGUGGCUAGUGACGCCACGGUGUAUUCCUCUAAACGGCGGAGCUCAGAAAACUCUCAAGGGCAACAAAGGGGGAGAGUUUACCAAGGUCACACUGUGUGUUGGUGGUUGAACUGGGUCAGUGUUCCACUGGUGGUUUUUCCCGGUCACUGCUAGCAGGGUAUUGAUGCAGUAACCAGCCCUACGGCCAGCCCACCGUGUCCCUUGCCCCAGUGGAGUGCCCAGUGGAUUAGAGCAUACACUUUGGAGUCAAACAGACCUAUGUUCAAAUCACAGCUCCCAAGCUAACUUGCUGGCUGACCUUGAGAACGACCCUUCCUCUCUCUGAGCCUAUGUCCUCUUCUGCAAAAUGGAACAGUAACCUCGCUCAUUUCCUGGGGUUGCUGGAGGAGUGAGUGCGAGAAGGCACAUGGGGUGUCUGUCCAGCGAGGCCACCCAGUUGAUGUGGACUAAGCCGUGACCUUGUCUCUGAAAUGAUCCAUGAGCUGAAAGAGCUUUGCAGCUGCCGUUCCACAUAAAGAAGCCCUGAAAUCUGCUUCACGGCGAUGACGUAGGCUGGGAAGGAGGCCAGAGGCCGCAGGGUGUCUGACUCUGGAAGAGACCCACACGCAAAUAGGCACCUCGCACCUGGCCACACACACCCUUGUGAGACGUAGGUGCACACAUUGUGUACACGUGCAUGUGCACAGGGGGAUGCUCACACAGGAUGCGUGCCGUAGAUAUGCUCACAUAUAGAUAUGCACAUGCUCACACGUCUGCGUGUGCCCACACGCGUGCGCACCCACACUUCCCGUGUACACAUACUUCCUCCUCUUUGCCUGGUUAACACUUACUCCUUCCGCCUCCACCCGCAGGUCACUGCCUGGGGGCAGCCGCCCUGAGCCCCUCAGCUUGUGCUCCCUUGGCCUCCUGCAUGUUCCCCCUUCCGUUUGCAUCUUAAUUGUCAUUGAACAAUUGUGUAACAAGCUGCUUAAUUCUGGAUUUUCUACUAGACUCUUAUCUCUGCAGAGGGCAGGGACAAAGCCUGACUGUUCUCCAAUGAUGGAAAGCUCCUAGCACAGCCUAGCACAUAGUAGGCCUUUGACAGAUACGUGCCAUUGUUUUUUUUUUUUUUUUUUUUCUUUUUCAAGGGCUGCAUCUGUGGCACAUGGAGGUUUCCAGGCUAGGAGUCAAAACAAAGCUGCAGCUGCCAGCCUAUGCCACAAGCCACGGUAACGCGGGAUCCCAGCUGCGUCUGUGACCUACACCACAGCAACAGCAAUGCCGGAUCCUUAACCCACUGAGCAAGGCCAGGGAUCAAACCCCCAUCCUCAUGGAUCCUGGUCACAGUGCGACUUCCGACAAACAUGCGCCAUUGAUUGAACAGAACCUCAGGGAUCCCUUUUGGGUGCAGGCAGGAGAGCAGCCGCUUCACUGUGGGCUGCCUUGUACGGGUUUCUGGCCUCGGGUCUGUGGGAGGUUUUAGGCUCACCCAGAGAAACCCACCCUCACAAUGUUGCGGAGGCUGGCGAGGAAGAAAACGCAGUCGCCAGGAAAUCGCGUGUCAGUGGUGAAGGGAUGUCCAGGAAGCCCGAGGGCAGAGAGCUCCUUGUCGCUUCUCGCUUGCUUUCCCCCGGGAGGCGAGGGACACCACAACUGCCCCAGGUGACAAGGCUGACCAGUCGCUGCCUGGGCUGGCACAGGGCGGCCUCCCUUGCCUCAGGCCAGAUGAGGGCGGUAAGCAGGCGUCUUCAGGGCAGAGAGAGGGCGGAGGAUGAUGCUCUGGUGGGAGUGAGAUGCAGUGCUGGGUGGCUGGAGGAGAUUUCCUUCCUUUAUUUAUCAAAGGAGUACUUCCGGACACCUUCUAAGUGCCAGGCACUGUGCCAGCUGCUGGAGAUACAGGAGAAAGUGAGUUAUGUGUGGCCUUGGACCUCCGGGUGCUCAAAUCUUACGGGCGAUGUGGAUAAGAAACCAGACCAUCCCCAUGCAGUGUGGUCCAGGCUCCCCAGGGGAGCUGAGACGCGGGCCUCCUAAGGAGGGUGGGAGUGGCUUAUGGAGGAGAGGGUUUCUGAGCUAAGGCCUAGAGAAGGAGCCAGGCCAGGAGACGCGGAAAGAUUGCUGUGAGUGGAGAGAAGGGUUUGUGGGCCGGCCCCAAAGGGAGAGAGGGCACAUGGCAGGAAUCCAGUGUGGCAGUGGCUGGCUCGUCCUGGUGGGGUGGCCAUAAGCUGGGGAGGAGCGGCAGCCAUCAAAGGAGGCUGAGCAUCUGGGAGCAGUGAGGUCCUGCAACCUGAAGAGAGGGGACAUGGGGAAGGAGCCUUGCUGUUCACUGGACAUGACCUUGCCUUCUCUGGGCCUGUUUUCUCACCUGUCACGUGGACAGGGGGGCUCGGUGACGGCCCACAUACUUUCCCAAGGCUGCUGUCUAAGCUCCCGUCAGGCCGGGUGAACCCUGUGCGUCCCCCCUUCCCCACCCCUGUGCUCUCUGCCGCCUCCCAUCCUGCCCCACAUCCUCUCUGUCCUGUGCCGUCCACCCUGGCCUCUUCCUCUGCCACUCCUCAGAAGCCGUGUCUCGUAGGAGCACCUCCUUGAUGGGGUGAUCAUGUCACCCACUUUUCCAUCCUCGUCCUGUGCCCUUCUCCGCACCGCACCCGAACUUCUCUCUCCAGCUCCCAGAGCUGUUUCUUGUCUGGAAUUCUCAGCCUCCUCCCUCCCCUCACCACGUCUCACUUUUGUCUUGCCAAUCCUUCCAGUUCCAGCUAAGCCCUUUCUUCAGCGAAGCCCUCCUCUAGGGGCCCAGCGCCUGCCCCGUGCUGUGUUAACACUCUGCCUCCUUCCCAGCGCUCGCAGGGCGGUACGAACGUGGUCGUGUGUGAUGACGGAUGCCCACUCCUUCCGAGACAGAAGCAGGGGCAGGGGGCGAAGCACAUGUUUAGUAGGUUCUGGGUGGUGAGUUGAGUGGAUAAGUGGCUGUCAGUGGAUUUAAUGCCUUUCAUACAUAUAUAAGUUAUUAACUAUGCUCAGGCCAGGACUGUAAACUGAAACUUCGUUCAUCAGUUCACAAAGUAGAGUGACAUGUUUUGCCACUAGAGGGCAUCGUGAAACCGUAAAGUUGGGGGUGAGCCUCAGGGACCCUGGCCUCUUUUUGAGUUGACGUGUAAAGUUCAGUCACUUUGUAUUCUGUGUCCACUCAGGACACAUCAAUUAAAAUUUUAAAAAAUGUGUAGACCCUUAUGAGUUGGAAGGCUGGCCAGAGCCUGUUUGGUCCAACCCUGGACACUUGAGACCUGAGGGAGAGUGAGUUCCCCUGCCUUCAUUGGCCCCAGGACACCGAUUUGUUCCUGGCUGUGGGAAAAUCCCUCUUUUUCAAUAUUCCUUUUUUCCUAUUAUGUAGGAGAAACUGUUCUAACUCCUGUCUCUUUCAAUCCAUCCAAUAAAUAUUUACUGACUUUCCACCGUGCGAUGGGCACUGUGUUAGGUGCUAGUAUUUCUAGUUUGCAAAACAGGCCUCUGUCUCAUGGAGUCCACUGUCUGGUUGGGAAAAUGAAUAUUGAAAAGUAAUAUAUAGAUACUAUCUGUGAUUAGUGCAAAAUGAAAGUCAGAGCCUGAGGACAGGACAUAACAGAGCUCCUGCCUCUUUCUUGAGCUCCCUCUUGGAGGAGGGCCAUUUGGCAGAAACCCAGAGGCUGAGCAGCCACUGGCAGAGGGAUCAGAAGGCCAGGUUUCCACCCUGGAGUUCCCUGGUGGCCUGCUGGUUCAGGAUCUGCUGUUAUCACUGCUGUGGCUCACAUUUGAUCCCUGGCCUGGGAAUUUCUGCAUGCCAGAGGUGUGACCAAAAAAAAAAAAAAA